rnacentral:misc_RNA from 1 species
UCACUUAUUACGAUAAAGUAUAUACGCGACUGAGAUUCAGCUAGGUUUAGCGCCUGCGUGCAAAAUUCAUCCUUCCAUUUCACAAACUGUUCACAAUUCGGAGCAACACUGGAUCAGACUUCAUUUUUGUCGUGACGACGUUAAGUUCUUUUUAUUUGUAUUUCACGUCGCGCGUUUUCCUUUCGUUUUCUUUUUGUCUGAUUUCCGGGACGCGAUUAUUCGCGUAUGAGAUCACGUCACGAGGCGGCAGUCGACAGGUUUGCAGUUUCACAUAACGCGUCGUGCUGAGACGUGCUGAGUGUUGCACAAAUUGCACGGCUCGUUGUUGUAUUUAACGUCGAACCCAGAAAUAAUCUGAUCUGCCGAUGAUAACGUGGCUUAUUGCUUAAUUCUUGACGCUCGCAUAGACACGGAAAAAUGGAAAAGAACGUAGGUUUUAGUGCAGCUAAUGCACAGCCAUCGAAUCUUUUACCAACGGCUCCGCCGUCUUAUGAGGAAGCCAUAGCUAAUACAGGAGUACCUAUGAAUCCUCCAGUUGGUUCUGCACCGUAUCCCCUGGGAAUCACGCCAGUACCAAUGGCAAUGCCAAUGCCAUAUAAUCAGCCACCAAAUCAAAUUACAAUGCCAGCACCAUCUGCGUCAAGUCAAUCAACGUCUCAGCCUCAUUUUAAUGUUGAGUCGAAUUCCAUGUCUUCUGUAUCGCGGCCGGAAGUACGGGUCAUUCAUCAUCAUUUAACGUACGCUCUAGCACCAAAUCCAGUGAAAAUGGCCUGUCCAACAUGUCAUGCCGAUAUCAAAACUACUACGAUAUCGGAUCAUCAGCCUAGUGCUCAUGUUUGCUGUAUCGUGCUUUGCUUACUCGGAUGCUGCCUCUGUUCAUGCCUGCCGUACUGUAUGAGCGCCUUCAUGAGCGUUCAUCAUUUUUGUCCGAAUUGUAAAAAUUAUAUCGGUACAUGGAAGGGUUGAUUCAAGAUCACACAUGCGCAUACAUAGAUUUCAGCUUUCUACACAUUAAGGACAACAGCAAAGAAGUAUCGCAAGAACAGUUACCCGGAAUCAACGGCGUGGACGUGACGAAAAUCUGAUUCCAUCGGGAUGCUUGAUUUACGUGAGUCCCCUUGCCUCUCACUUUCGGGGUUGCUAAAUUUGCUAAAUUUCCUAAAAAAUUAUGGAUUUUCAUGAAAAACGUGUCAGACAAUUUUAAUGCAGAAUUUUAUGUUCUUUCAGAAUAUGCAAUGAAAAAUACAUUUCAUUAAAAAAAACAAAGUUGACCUUCAUAUAACCUUCAAUUUUAUCUUCAUCAAAAACUCAAGCCCACCAUCUUGUGUCCCCCUUCGAACCCUACAACUUUUGUCUAAAACAUUUUUCUCUAAACUUAACAGCGUUUGAAAUAUUCGCCUGGCUAGAUUAAAAAUAAAACACCCUGUAUAUUCUAUUAUAUAUACAGGAUGUCCCAUUUUAAAUUACGCACCUGAAUGUCUUGUCAGGGGAGCCACCAAUCCGAAAAUAACCCUUACGAAAGUUGCUGGGUUCGGAGGGGGACAUCAGACGGUGAUUUUCAAUUUCACCUUGACCUUGACCUUCAAGGUCAUUUGAAGAUUAAAUCGAAUUGUUUAAAUAAAAAUUCCUAUUUUUGACCCUGGAUUCGGAAAAAGCGCAAAAUUUUACGUUUAGAUGGGUACUUGAGGCUCUUCUUUGGAAUGACCUUCAGAGGUUAUUUUAAGGACAAAAUAUUUGAAAUUACGAACCUGAAUAUCUUGUUGGGGAGCCACCAAUCCAAAUAACCCUUACAAAAGUUGUUGGGUUUGGAGGGGGACAUCGGAUGGUGACCUUCAAUUUCACCUUGACCUUGACCUUCACGCGCGGUAAUAAAGUUUGAACAACUGUACCCUCUAACUAAUUCCGUGCUACUAAAAAAAGCAAAUGUGAAACUUUAGUUUUGUUCGAAGGUGUGUUAAUUUAUUAUUUUCUAAAAUUUUAUUUUUAUUUUUUUGAUGAUUUCUUAAG